rnacentral:rRNA from 1 species
UCGAGAAUUUUUCUCAAUGGGCGAAAGCCUGAAGGAGCGACGCCGCGUGGGGGAUGAAGGGCUUCGGCUCGUAAACCCCUGUCAUUUGCGAACAAACCUUUGCAUUGAACAGGUGCAAAGCUGAUAGUAGUGAAAGAGGAAGGGACGGCUAACUCUGUGCCAGCAGCCGCGGUAAUACAGAGGUCCCAAGCGUUGUUCGGAUUCACUGGGCGUAAAGGGUGCGUAGGUGGCGAGAUAAGUUUGAUGUGAAAUCUCCGGGCUUAACCUGGAAAAUGCAUUAAAAACUGUUUUGCUAGAGGUUUGGAGGGGGGACUGGAAUUCUCGGUGUAGCAGUGAAAUGCGUAGAUAUCGAGAGGAACACCAGUGGCGAAAGCGAGUCCCUGGACAACACCUGACACUGAGGCACGAAAGCUAGGGGAGCAAACAGG